rnacentral:rRNA from 1 species
UACGGGGGAGCAAGCGUUGUUCGGAUUUACUGGGCGUAAAGGGUGCGUAGGCGGGUCUUAAGUCAGGGGUGAAAUCCUGGAGCUCAACUCCCAGAACUGCCUUUGAUACUGAGGAUCUUGAGUUCGGGAGAGGUGAGUGGAACUGCGAGUGUAGAGGUGAAAUUCGUAGAUAUUCGCAAGAACACCAGUGGCGAAGGCGGCUCACUGGCCCGAUACG